UUUUUUUCUUUUUUUUUUUUUGGGUUGAAUAAAACGUUUUGAUAUUCUUUAAUAUCAAACCCGCAGGUCCACCUCCCUUUCUACAAUAAUCAAACACAAAUCAGAAAACCCAAAUACCUUUUACACCGGUUCAAGAACCUUAAUAUACAGCUCCCCUCUUUUUCAUUAAAUGCUAUGGAAUUUGAAAUGGAUCUCUCGGGAUCAAUGAUGCAUGCUUUUGGGUUUUUCUGUAUCUUUAUACAGGAAGAGGUUUUUGGUCAGAAUCGUUCAUUAAACCCAUUCCACCACUUGUGGAUGAUAAGCAGCAGGCAUCUUCUCUAUUUAUUUACUCAGUAGGAUACACAAAUUGAAGUUCCUACUUUGAAUGUCAACUUAAGGCGCAGAUUUACUGAACCAUGGAAUUUUGGCAAGCCAACACAAACAUGUGAGAGUUGUGGGGCUAUUCUAUGCUAUGAAGAGAGGAAUGUCAAGUCAGGAAGAUCUUCACAACCAAAGUUUUCGUUGUGCUGUUUGGAAUGACUAAUUUAUUUACCUUUGUUAAAACAUGCACCUCCAGUUCUUGAAGAAUUGCUGAAUUAUGGUGGCCCUUCAUUUGUAAUAGUAUGUCUAAUACAUUUACAUUUUAUUGUAGCUAUCUGGUAUAACAAUGUCCAAAGGAUACAACUUUCUUAAUCAAAUAUGUGAUGCUAAGGAGACAUGGAGAUUUAGAGUGAGAAUGUGAAGAAUGUGGAAAGCAGUGAAUAAGAGAAGU